GUCGAGCGGGGGAAGGUAGCUUGCUACCGGACCUAGCGGCGGACGGGUGAGUAAUGCUUAGGAAUCUGCCUAUUAGUGGGGGACAACAUCUCGAAAGGGAUGCUAAUACCGCAUACGUCCUACGGGAGAAAGCAGGGGAUCUUCGGACCUUGCGCUAAUAGAUGAGCCUAAGUCGGAUUAGCUAGUUGGUGGGGUAAAGGCCUACCAAGGCGACGAUCUGUAGCGGGUCUGAGAGGAUGAUCCGCCACACUGGGACUGAGACACGGCCCAGACUCCUACGGGAGGCAGCAGUGGGGAAUAUUGGACAAUGGGGGGAACCCUGAUCCAGCCAUGCCGCGUGUGUGAAGAAGGCCUUA
rnacentral:rRNA from 1 species